GUGGGGAAUAUUGCACAAUGGGCGAAAGCCUGAUGCAGCAACGCCGCGUGAGGGACGACGGCCUUCGGGUUGUAAACCUCUUUUAGUAGGGAAGAAGCGAAAGUGACGGUACCUGCAGAAAAAGCACCGGCUAACUACGUGCCAGCAGCCGCGGUAAUACGUAGGGUGCAAGCGUUAUCCGGAAUUAUUGGGCGUAAAGAGCUCGUAGGCGGUCUGUCGCGUCUGCUGUGAAAACUGGAGGCUCAACCUCCAGCCUGCAGUGGGUACGGGCAGACUAGAGUGCGGUAGGGGAGAUUGGAAUUCCUGGUGUAGCGGUGGAAUGCGCAGAUAUCAGGAGGAACACCAAUGGCGAAGGCAGAUCUCUGGGCCGUAACUGACGCUGAGGAGCGAAAGCGUGGGGAGCGAACAGGAUUAGAAACCCGAGUAGUCC
rnacentral:rRNA from 1 species